rnacentral:rRNA from 1 species
UACAGAGGUCCCAAGCGUUGUUCGGAUUCACUGGGCGUAAAGGGUGCGCAGGUGGGUUGGCAAGUUCGAUGUGAAAGCCCCGGGCUUAACCCGGGAAUGGCAUUGGAAACUGCUGAUCUGGAGGAUCGGAGGGGGGACUGGAAUUCUUGGUGUAGCAGUGAAAUGCGUAGAUAUCCGGAGGAACACCAGUGGCGAAAGCGGCCACCUGGACUGUACCUGACGCUCAAACGGCGAAAGCUAGGGGAGCGAACGGG